CCUACGGGAGGCAGCAGUGAGGAAUAUUGGUCAAUGGCCGAGAGGCUGAACCAGCCAAGUCGCGUGAGGGAAGACGGCCCUACGGGUUGUAAACCUCUUUUGUCGGGGAGCAAAGCGAUUCACGUGUGACUCAUUGAGAGUACCCGAAGAAAAAGCAUCGGCUAACUCCGUGCCAGCAGCCGCGGUAAUACGGAGGAUGCGAGCGUUAUCCGGAUUUAUUGGGUUUAAAGGGUGCGCAGGCGGAGGUGCAAGUCAGCGGUAAAAUUGCGGGGCUCAACCCCGUACUGCCGUUGAAACUGCAUGCCUUGAGUGCGCGAGAAGUAUGCGGAAUGCGUGGUGUAGCGGUGAAAUGCAUAGAUAUCACGCAGAACUCCGAUUGCGAAGGCAGCAUACCGGCUCCACACUGACGCUGAGGCACGAAAGCGUGGGUAUCGAACAGGAUUAGAUACCCCUGUAGUC
rnacentral:rRNA from 1 species